UGGGGAAUAUUGCACAAUGGAGGGAACUCUGAUGCAGCGACGCCGCGUGAGUGAUGAAGGAUUACGUUUCGUAAAACCCUGUUCUAUGGGAAGAAAAGGACUGUACCAUAGGAGAAAGCUCCGGCUAAAUACGUGCCAGCAGCCGCGGUAAUACGUAUGGAGCGAGCGUUGUCCGGAAUUAUUGGGCGUAAAGGGUGCGCAGGCGGCUUUACAAGUUGGAUGUGAAAUAUUGUGGCUCAACCACAAACGUGCAUCCAAAACUGCAAAGCUUGAGUUAAGGAGAGGUAAGUGGAAUUCCUGGUGUAGCGGUGGAAUGCGUAGAUAUCAGGAGGAAUACCGGUGGCGAAGGCGACUUACUGGACUUAAACUGACGCUCAGGCACGAAAGCGUGGGGAGCAAACAGG
rnacentral:rRNA from 1 species